UGGUCUCGUAAAGAAGCUCAGGUCAGACACACGUCCAGUUAAUACCACCCAAUAUCUCAAACUUAUCGAACAGAAGAACCCCACAAUUUGUUUCACCAAGAGGUUGAGGCAAGAAGGUGCUGAGUGCAGGGUGUGCUUAUCUGAAUUCCAGGAAGGGGAAAAGGUGAGGAACUUGAAAUGUAAACACACAUUUCACAGAGAUUGCUUGGACAAGUGGUUGCAGCAAUAUUGGGCUACCUGCCCUCUUUGCAGGAACCAAGUUCUGCCAGAAGAUGUUGUGGCCAAGUAUCGUGAACUUCAGAAUCAGAGGGACUACGUCUUCUCCUUUUGGGAUCUCGCUGAAUAAUUUGGAUGUACCUUCUGCUAGAUUGAAGGAGACGAGUCAUGGGAGAUAUUUUGAGAAAAAAGGUAGAGGUUUUAAUUAAUUCUGGUGUCCCACAUCUGAAGUGAAAAAUCUCAGGCAGAUAUUUUUGUGAGAAACUCGUCUGCACGACCAUCCCUUUUGAGGAUUAAUUUCCGGUGAAAGGACUGUCUAAUCCGUAUGGAUUUUCAUCAUGAAGGAAGCUCAACUUGAUUCCUGGCAGAGAUGACAGCUUAGCUUCAAGUGCAAGGCAAUAGGAGUAUAUAGUAAUUUCAAGGGGACACUCCUUAAUGCAUUGGUGAGAUGUUAGGUAAGGUUAGGAGGCUUCAUGCUCAAAGCACUUUUUUUUGGGAGGGUGAAAAUUUGCCCACAAACCAGAAUGGCCUGAAACAGACAAGUAUUUAGCUCUUGGAUAGCUCGAAGGAAAGACAUGUAGGGUAGGGUACUCAAUUUGCAAAGCCAAGGAAGAAAGAGGAGGCAACACAACUUAGAAAAUCAUAGUUGUAAUGGUUUCUCUCACUGGAGACAGAAACCAUCAAGCCAUCAGCAUCAUUCAGGAUUUUCGAUGCUCUUUUUCUUUUCUUUGUAAUCUGUUUGUUUUCCGAAAUCUCUCCUGAAGAACUACAGCCAACCGUUACAAUUUUGUUUUUGUUUUUGUUUUAAUUGCUUCCCUUGUAAAGUUACCCUGUCUCCCAAUUUUCUCAGCAAGCCUGUGAUUAUGUUAAUGACUUUUGUGAAGUGCAUGAAUGAUCAGAGUUGAAUAAGGCAAGUAAUAUUGCCUUAUGGAAACAA